ACAGAUGAGACAAUAAAACAGAGUUUAAGAGAAAACUAAAAUGAAAUGUGUGUCAAUAUAUGUGUUUACAGAUCAAAUGUGUGUCAAUAUAUGUGUUUACAGAUGCAGAUAAUGUUCAAGAGCAACCCCAAAGAAAAUUACACCCAGAACUGCCAGAAAAUUCCGUUUAUUUUUAAAUUGUAAAUGGAGAAGUUGCCCUCCCAAAAGUGUUAUUUGCUGUUUAAAUACAACAGAAAGUGAUACCGAUAAUAAUAAUUGCCUGAUCAAGAUGAUAUAUAUCCAUAUAUCUGUGACCAACCAUGAGGGAGAAGAUGAUAAUGCCAGCGGGAGACAUGUGUUGAAGAACACAAUAACCAGGAAAUUGUUAAAUCUGUUGCCAUUUUCUACAUACAAGUAAAUGCCUGUACCAAGUCAGGAAUAUGACAGUUGUUUUCCAUUCGUUUGAUGUGUUUCAGCUUUUGAUUUUGCCAUUUGAUAAAGGACUUUCCAUUUUAAAGUUCGGUAUUUUUGUUAUUUUUACUUUUUUUUUGGCAGAUAAAAAAAACGCAUCUGGUAUGGACUUCAUGAUUUCGAAAAAAAUGUGGAUAGAUGUUUCUAAAUGUAUGGCCAAAAUGAUAGCGCUACUUCCCCAAGUUCGACACAGUGUAGGGAAAAGUUCUACUCAUUUAAAAGAAGCUGAAGAAAAUAUAUAGUAGACUGCAAAACAUAAAUGAAACGACGACCCAGCAUUUCAACCGCUGAUGGUUAAAAGUUGAUUUGGUUUCAAAGAAGUAACCAUAAUAAGGUCAACAAUCCAGAUGAAAAGGGCGAUAACGACGACAACGAUGAAGCCAUCAUCUGCAUCAAUUAACAUCUAAUCGCACAGCGCAAGUCACGGCGAGGGGAAGACCUUGAUGAAUGAAAGGGUAAACAAACGUGAAAUUUUUUUUUAUUAAACGUUUAUAAAAUUAAAAAGAUUAAAACACCAAAUUUUUUAAUAACCGUUAUGACAAAGUUUAAUUGACUAAUGGGUACGCAUGGAAAACAUAAAAAAAAAUAUAUAUCGCUCUAGCGCCUCACUUAAAUUCCACGUUCCAUGAAACUGAGAGUAAGGAGACGACUAUUUUUGAAGGAGAGGAAUAUUGAAAAUGAAUAUUCUGGUCGGGUAACAAUUGAAAAUCAAUCAUCUUGCCCAAGACAGGAUGGAAAUGAAUAUACUGUCCCACAAAAUGUGAGACAUAAUUAUUUUUUUUGCACAGAAUAACAUGUGAAAACGAAUAUUUCGUCCACGACAAAUCAUCUGACCCCUUCCUCAAUUUAAAUGAUUGUCCCCUCAAUUUAAUAAAAUGACGAUUUCUAACAGAGUUAGAAUCUUUGUCUUGUAAGAAGUGAUUUACGACACAACUCUAGUCCAAAAGAUAUUGACACAAUUAGUUAUGUGAUUAUAUACUUACCCACAAAGUUGUUUCGGCAACCCGUAUGGCUUUCAAAUUAACCACGAAAAAAUAAGUCGCAUGUAGCUACCAGUCUGAUUUAUAUUUAGAAAUUUACUUUUGUCAAUCCACCAGGCUGAAGCUAGCGAACAAUAACUAGCGAACAAUAAGCCAGCGAACAAUAAGACGAUCUAUCUAAAAACCGAAAAAAUGAAUAAGACAGCAACGGCCGUUAAAUAAAAAAAUAUUUAAAAAGGCAGAAAUUCCGUCCAAAUAUUGCAAUUUCAAAAUUAUCAUGAUUUGGUAUUUAUCCCAUCCAUUGAUAAAACUAGUCACAUCUCUUUUUAGGCUAAUAUUCAGUACCACAAUAAAUCUGCAUCUGUCAACGGAUUAUUUGUAGGUGUAAGACCACCAAUGCAUCUACUUCAAUUUAGAACGUAUGUAAAAGUAGUCCUUCUCUGUAAAAUAUAGCACCUUUGAUGUCAUUGUUUAAUUGAACUAAGAUACACAUUUGCAGAAAUGGGGGUUGGCCUAUUCCAUGGCUUCUAGAGAAAAAUAAUGAGGGGUGUCACGGGGUAUGACUAUAUAGAUCUUGUAGAGGAGAAACAGACGAAUCUUUUGCGCAAGGUAUCGAAGGGCGCUAUGUUAAAAAAUCUGAAACUAGAGCUCAAAAUUUGAAAAAAAAUUGUUAAAAACAGGGGGAUUGGCCUAUUCCAUGGCUUCUAGAGAAAAAUAAUGAGGGGUGUCACGGGGUAUGUCUAUAUAGGUCUUGUACAGGAGAAACAGGCGCAUCUUUUGCGCAAGGUAUCGAAGGGCGCUUUGUUCAAAAAUCUGAAACUAGAGCUCAAAAUUUGAAAAAAAUUGUUAAAAACAGGGUGGUUGGCCUAUUCCAUGGCUUCUAGAGAAAAAUAAUUAGGAGUGUCACGGGGUAUGUCUAUAUAGGUCUUGUAGAGUAGAAACAGGCGCAUAUUUUUCGCAAGGUAUCGAAGGGCGCUAUGUUCAAACAUCUGAAACUAGAGCUCAAAAUUUGAAAAAAAAGAUAAAAACAGGGGGGUUGGCCUAUUCCAUGGCUUCUAGAGAAAAAUAAUGAGUUGUGUCACGGGGUAUGACUAUAUAGGUCUUGUAGAGGAGAAACAGGCGCAUCUUUUGCGCAAGGUAUCGAAGGGCGCUAUGUUCAAAAUCUGAAACUAGGGCUCAAAAUUUGGAAAAAAAAGAUAAAAACAGGGGGGUUGGCCUAUUCCAUGGCUUCUAGAGAAAAAUAAUGAGGGGUGUCACGGGGUAUGACUAUAUAGGUCUUGUAGAGGAGAAACAGGCGCAUCUUUUGCGCAAGGUAUCGAAGGGCGCUAUGUUCAAAAUCUGAAACUAGGGCUCAAAAUUUGGAAAAAAAAGAUAAAAACAGGGGGGUUGGCCUAUUCCAUGGCUUCUAGAGAAAAAUAAUGAGGGGUGUCACGGGGUAUGACUAUAUAGGUCUUGUAGAGGAGAAACAGGCGCAUCUUUUGCGCAAGGUAUUGAAGGGCGCUAUGUUAAAAAAUCUGAAACUAGAGCUCAAAAUUUGAAAAAAAAUUGUUAAAAACAGGGGGGUUUGCCUAUUCCAUGGCUUCUAGAGAAAAAUAAUGAGGAGUGUCACGGGGAAUGACUAUAUAGGUCUUGCAGAGGAGAAACAGGCGCAUCUUUUGCGCAAGGUAUCGAAGGGCGCUAUGUUCAAACAUCUGAAAGUAGAGCUCAAAAUUUGAAAAAAAAAUUGUUAAAAACAGGGGGAUUGGCCUAUUCCAUGGCUUCUAGAAAAAAAUAAUGAGGGGUGUCACGGAGUAUGUCUAUAUAGGUCUUGUAGAGGAGAAACAGGCGCAUCUUUUGCGCAAGGUAUCGAAGGGCGCUUUGUUAAAAAAUCUGAAACUAGAGCUCAAAAUUUGAAAAAAAUUGUUAAAAACAGGGGGGUUGGCCUAUUCCAUGGCUUCUAGAGAAAAAUAAUGAGUGGUGUCACGGGGUAUGACUAUAUAGGUCUUGUAGAGAAGAAACAGGCGCAUCUUUUGCGCAAGGUAUCGAAGGGCGCUUUGUUCAAAAAUCUGAAACUAGAGCUCAACAUUUGAAAAAAAAUUUGCUAAAAACAGAGUGGUUGGCCUAUUCCAUGGCUUCUAGAGGAAAAUAAUGAGGGGUGUAACGGGGUAUGUCUAUAUAGGUCUUGUAGAGGAGAAACAGGCGCAUCUUUUGCGCAAGGUAUUGAAGGGCGCUAUGUUCAAAAAUCUAAAACUAGGGCUCAAAAUUAGGAAAAAAAAAGAUAAAAACAAGGUGUUGGCCUAUUCCCUGGCUUCUAGAGAAAAAUAAUGAGGGGUGUCACGGGGUAUGACUAUAUAGGUCUUGUAGAGGAGAAACAGGCGCAUCUUUUGCGCAAGGUAUCGAAGGGCGCUAUGUUCAAAAAUCUGAAACUAAGGCUCAAAAUUUGGAACUAAAGAUAAAAACAGGGGGGUUGGCCUAUUCCAUGGCUUCUAGAGAAAAAUAAUGAGUGGUGUCACGGGGUAUGAAUUUAUAGGUCUUGUAGAAGAGAAACCAGCGCAUCUUUUGCGCAAGGUAUUGAAGGGCGCUUUGUUCAAAAAUCUGAAACUAGAGCUCAAAAUUUGAAAAAAAUUUUGCCAAAAACAGAGAGGUUGGCCUAUUCCAUGGCUUCUAGAGGAAAAUAUCGAGGAGUGUCACGGGGUAUGUCUAUAUAGGUCUUGUAGAGGAGAAAGAGUCGCAUCUUUUGCGCAAGGUAUCGACAUGCGCUAUGUUCAAAAUCUGAAACUAGGGCUCAAAAUUUGGAAAAAAAAGAUAAAAACAGGGGGGUUGGCCUAUUCCAUGGCUUCUAUAGAAAAAUAAUGAAGGGU